UCUUCGGCAAUGGACGAAAGUCUGACCGAGCAACGCCGCGUGAGCGAAGAAGGUUUUCGGACCGUAAAACUCUGUUGUUAGAGAAGAAUGUUGAUUAGAGUGGAAAAUUAAUCAAGUGACGGUAUCUAACCAGAAAGUGACGGCUAACUACGUGCCAGCAGCCGCGGUAAUACGUAGGUCCCGGGCGUUGUUCGGAUUUAUUGGGCGUAAAGCGAGCGCAGGUGGUUUAAUAAGUCUGAUGUAAAAGGCAGUGGCUGAGCCAUUGUGUGCAUUGGAAACUGUUAGACUUGAGUGCAGUAGAGGAGAGUGGAAUUCCAUGUGUAGCGGUGAAAUGCGUAGAUAUAUGGAGGAACACCGGUGGCGAAAGCGGCUCUCUGGACUGUCACUGACACUGAGGCUCGAAAGCGUGGGUAGCAAACAGG
rnacentral:rRNA from 1 species